ACAUUUUACAGGACAAAAUGUUUACUCAUUUAUCACCGUUAUUUGUUAUUUAUCAUACAUAUGUCACUAUUAUAAUAAAAUUUUGACGGCCUGACGGACUCCCUGCCAUCCUAUAUCGUUUUUGUUCUUUCCUUCUUUCUUUCUUUCUUUCUUUCUUUCUUUCUUUCUUUUUAUUUCUUUCUUUUUUUUUCGUACAACAUUGUCACUAACUAAUCCGCUUUAAGAACUUGUUAGCAAACUGCAUUAAGGCCAUUCCCAGUGUUGUUUCCGGGAGUUUGUUUAACGGGAUGAUGACACUUGAACACCUGGGGCACUAGAAUAACUUGUAAGUUUUUUUUUUUAAUCGAAUGUUAUUUACCACGUACCUUGCGAUUAUGAUUAUAUAAAUACACCAUCCUAAGAUUAGCGAUAUGAAUAAUUUACAAAGAAAACAGUGGGUUCGUUGAAACGUCACGCGUUUGUGCACAAGGCAAGUUUAAAACACCCGAGUGUGUAAAUAUAACGCUCAUAAACCGCUUUAAGAUUGCCAUACAGAAACCGGAGAUUAUCUUACAACCUUAUUAUAAAAGCUGUACCUCGUACAUUCCCAUUGCAAUGAAAGGACGACAAUUGAAUUAUACCGCUCUAUUUUUGCUGAUAAUUAUAAAUAUGCAGUUCAUUACCAUUGCGUCCGCAAAUUGUGAAAAACGUUUCCGUUUCAUAAACGGAAGAGUACGUCCAUUCUGCCUGGAUACAGGAUGUUCCAAUACUGGAGAAACUAAACGAUGUACUCUUUUCAGUGGAAGAUAUUGCCGGUGUAUGAACACAGGAUCCCUCGCUAGAUUGAUUUCUCUUCUUAAGAAGGACGUGGAGUCCGCCGUAAACUCGUAAAAAGGUAGCAGAAAAUCUCAAUUGAAAACUUUUUGAAAAAAAAUACAUCGUGUGAAAUAUUAUAUUUAUAUGAAAACUAGCAGUUUUUCAUUACCAAACAUAGCAUAUUUCAAAACAGGAAAUAUUGACUCGUGACUCUGUAUUAUUUCAGACAUCGAGUUUGUAGAAAUAGAGAAAAACGCAUUUCUAAAGAGGCAAAACUGAACAUUUGUUAAAUUCCGUUUGAUGGAGCCUGCUAAUGGAUGUUAUUGAUAGAUACAAGCUACCGAUUCAGUCAAUGAUAAGACAUUCAUGUACUUCAUGGUACCCUGUUCUUACAUUUAUGAUGAUAUAUUUAUUUCUGAUGUUUCAAUAUCGCAAUAUUUAAAUUGUAAUUGGAAUAAACACCAUAUUUUUACACUU